rnacentral:lncRNA from 1 species
AAGAGCAGUUGCACUCAGAUCCCUUCUUAGGGCUUGCUUUUCAUCACAAUAUAAAGGGGGCAAAUCCAUCACUUCCCUCCGCUCAGCGCUCUUGAACUGAGAUUGAAGGGAAAAUUAGAAGCCGCUCAUUUGGGCUUCGAGCUCAGCAGCGUCGUACGGUUUCGUUUCACGCUCCGCGGUGUCCUGCUGAAAGGGGCCAACAAGUGCUGGUGAGUACCUGCUAACUUCAAGACUCUCCCUCUUCCUUUCAUCGAUCUUUUCUGGCUUUUACGCGUGGGGGAGGGGGCCUCCCCAAAGAUCUAUGUUCUAACGCAUUUUUUCAAAGCUGGGAGAUUUCAGGCAGCUUUUUAGGCUUCUUCCAGUGACUGAGUCGCAGAAGGAAACAGAGUUAUUUUCAGCCUAGAUGCUGGUGACUGAUCUAUGUAUUAAUUAUAACAGGGGAGCGUUUAACAUAUGCUAGCUAAAAUGGCCUUUCCCUGCAACCCGUAGCCAGCAUUAGGGUAAGAACUGAGCGCCCGCAAUUUCUGGACAACUUUUCUAUCAUAUUAACUGGUUAAUCAUGUAAUGCUGUUGUGAUUGCUAAUCAAACUGGGACUGGGGGCUAUCAACAUAAAUUAUCCAGCCAAAACCCAUUUUUAAAGGACUAUGACACUUCUCUGUAUACGAGAGGGAAGGGGUGAUGGGGAAUGGACCACAUGAUGGUUAUAUGUCGAUUUCGACGGUGAUGAUUUUGUGCCAAAGUUUUAUAUGGGAAACUGGUCAUUUUCUUCCUUCACAGUGGAGGAUACAAAGAGGCUGAGGCUGGCGUCACCUUCCGUUGCUAAGGUAACAUGUUCUGGCCAUUUUAUCUGGUAAAGGAGGUCCAGUGGACUGUAUACAUUAUUCAUCGCUGUUCUAAUCAAACAAUCAAAAUUGUUUACUUUCAUCGGGAAUUUAGUGAGAUCAAAGCCACUCUGGCUGAAACUGUUCUUGCUUUUACUGCCGGCAGUUAGUCCUUGGUGGGUUUUUUUUUUUUUUUUCUGUAAGUAUGAUUUGCUGUUGGGGUACCUUUGGGCAUUUCUUAAAGUUUCCUCUUACCAGAUAUGGUUUCUUAAAUUAAAAUACGCCCUGUUAGAAAAAGAAACGAAUUGGAUUAGCCCUCCGAGCUUGAUUUUAAUGACAUUAUCUUGUAAUUUCUUUCCUAAAACAUCCUGCAGAAAUAGAGAUACUUCAUUUGUGCAAGUAUCAGGGAAAGGCUACAUAUGCUAAAAAGAAGCCAACAGACUGAAUGUUUUUUAAUGAAGUGCAUCAGCUUCCUGACAGUCUAGUGCAUGAUAAUAUUAGGGGAAUCAUUGCAAUUCUGAAAUAAUUGUUACUGCUCUACAAACCAGAAUUCUUUCUCAAAAGCAGCCUAGGUCAGGGGCAAGCAGGUGAUGAUCCUGUCGCACCUUGUAAAACGUGCUGCAGGGAAUCACCAAGAAGGAAGGAAUUCAAGGCAUUUUUACAGCAAACAUGUCAGCAUGUGUCAUAAACGCAAGGCACCUAUAAGUGGAGGCUCGGAUUCCCAGGCGAUUCUCACUGUUCUAGGGGAAUCAGAGCUCCCGGGACCAACUGAGGAUCAUUUCAGAACGGCUGAUGCCAUUCGUCAGAUGGACCUUUUGAAAACGGAGAGCAUAUGAAUCUAACGGCAUAUUUUCCAGUUAACACACAACAAGGAAAGACUGGUAUGUUAUUCCUGUUUAGCUUGAAUCAUGUGUUUGUUUGUUUUUUUUUCUGAAUGCAAUAUAUUUCUUUUCAUGAAUGAUGAUUAAAUGUUGCAUUUUCUCAACACAGUAGGAAAGGUAUGUUGAGGGGUGCUUUUAGCAUUGAAAUGUCAGUCAAAGGAGGGAAUAUUAUAAUGGGACAUUUCUUAUUCCAAGAUGUUUAAUAUAUAUGUGUGGGUAUAAAUAUAUCCUUAUAUAACAAAUAUAAUAUAUUGCAUCUACAUAUCUAUUUAAAUACAUAUAUUUAAAUACAUGAUAUAUUAUUAAUUGUAUAUGCGUGUGUGUGUGUAUAUAUAUAUACAUAUAUGUUUUUAAAAAUCUAUUUGUCAGUCCAAAAUAUUGUGGAUUUUUUUUUCCUUUUUCGUAGGUAUACAAGUGACUAUUUUGUCUUGAAACUCUGCUUUUGGAACCUCAAGGAUGGAUUAUCCCAAAAUGGAUUAUUUUCUGGAUGUCGAGUCGGCUCAUAGACUCCUGGAUGUCGAGUCUGCUCAUAGAUUCUUCUACAGUCAAGGAGCUC